GACGAACGCUGGCGGCGUGCUUAACACAUGCAGGUCGAACGGAAAGGCCCUGCUUUUGUGGGGUGCUCGAGUGGCGAACGGGUGAGUAACACGUGAGUAACCUGCCCUUGACUUUGGGAUAACUUCAGGAAACUGGGGCUAAUACCGGAUAGGAGCUCCUGCUGCAUGGUGGGGGUUGGAAGGUUUCGGCGGUUGGGGAUGGACUCGCGGCUUAUCAGCUUGUUGGUGGGGUAGUGGCUUACCAAGGCUUUGACGGGUAGCCGGCCUGAGAGGGUGACCGGCCACAUUGGGACUGAGAUACGGCCCAGACUCCUACGGGAGGCAGCAGUGGGGAAUAUUGCACAAUGGGCGGAAGCCUGAUGCAGCAACGCCGCGUGCGGGAUGACGGCCUUCGGGUUGUAAACCGCUUUCGCCUGUGACGAAGCGUGAGUGACGGUAAUGGGUAAAGAAGCACCGGCUAACUACGUG
rnacentral:rRNA from 1 species